UGAAAGAUUUCAGAACAUUCUUUCUUCUCUGUUGACUUUUGACAUAGCAACUGGCAACAUUUGAAAUGGUGGCUAUUCCAUCAACUUGUGUGUCUACGUCAUCACAAUGAGCAGAUCCUACUUGCCAAACUUCGAUGGUUGUAUAGUGUAGAGAGUUACUGGAAGACAUGCUUCACGAUAAGAAGGAGUAAACCAAGAGGAGAAAGACGAGGACUCAAGACUUUGUACAGAGAGGACUGGUGCGGUCAUCACAAAGGAAACAUCUAUUUCUGAAUGCUUGGAGAGAAAUGGGGCUGGAGUGGGCAGGAGAGGAAGCACACCACCCAGAUGCUCAAAGCCUGAUGGGAGCAAGAACGGGGAGCCUCCAGGGGCUGCCCCACCAUCGCCCGUGCUCUGCCAGCAGCCAGGGAAGCCAAAGCCGACCGCUACUUCACAGCCCCUGCCGUGGCCCUUACACUUGCUCCUGACCUUGCCAACCCAGACAGUCAGGAGACGGGGAUGAGGUGGCUGCCGGGGUGAACACGGCCCACGUGACACAGGGCUUCCAGGUGUGGCAAGUGUGUAUGAGACCCAAGAAAUGGAAUUUUUAUACCUGUGAAUCAGAGGAAGAUAAAUUGAAGCCAACCUGAAAGAAAGAGGGCUUUAGGUAAUUCUGUCGUAAGUCCUGAGUCUUCAACAUUUAGGGACCUUGAGUACACCUAGGCCCAGCCCCUCUUUUCACAGCAGAGGGAAAGGAAAUCCAGGGGUACAGUAGCCUGGCCACAGUCACCGCAGGAGUACAAUCACUCUGCUCUGAGCCCUGCACAAAGCCAUUGCCUUCCUGCCACACCAGGCUGCCCUGUGACACUGAAUCAUUGCUUUCAAGGCUAUUGAUUAAUCAGGGGAGAAAGAAUACAUUUCGAGGUGGAUUUACCCUGUAUGAACUCGCUUUAAAGGUGACAUUGGAAGCUAGAUCUCCACAAUCAGGCAAUGUGGCAACUGACUCCACACAAGAACCUUUAAAAAAAUAAGUCAAUUAUUUCAAACCAUUGUAUUUGAACUACUGUCACUUAAUACAAUUAUUCUGGCACCAUUA